rnacentral:rRNA from 1 species
UACGGAGGGUGCGAGCGUUGUUCGGAAUUAUUGGGCGUAAAGGGCGUGCAGGCGGUCUUUUAAGUCUGAUGUGAAAGCCCCGGGCCUAACCCGGGAAGUGCAUUGGAUACUGGGAGACUUGAAUACGGGAGAGGAGAGUGGAAUUCCUGGAGUAGGAGUGAAAUCCGCAGAUAUCAGGAGGAACACCGGUGGCGAAGGCGGCUCUCUGGACCGAUAUUGACGCUGAGACGCGAAAGCGUGGGGAGCAAACAGG